GAUGAACGCUGGCGGCGUGCCUAAUACAUGCAAGUCGAGCGAACAGACGAGGAGCUUGCUCCUCUGACGUUAGCGGCGGACGGGUGAGUAACACGUUGAUAACCUACCUAUAAGACUGGGAUAACUGCGGGAAACCGGAGCUAAUACCGGAUAAUAUAUUGAACCUCAUUGUUCAAUAGUGAAAGACGGUUUUGCUGUCACUUAUAGAUAGAUCCUCGCCGCAUUAGUUAGUUGGUAAGGUAACGGGUUACCAAGGCAACGAUGCGUACCCGACCUGAGAGGGUGAUCGGCCACACUGGAACUGAGAAACGGUCCAGACUCCUACGGGAGGCAGCAGUAGGGAAUCUUCCGAAAUGGGCGAAAGCCUGACGGAGCAACGCCGCGUAGGUGAUGAAGGUCUUCGGAUCGUAAACCUCUGUUAUUAGGGAAGAACAAAUGUGUAAGUAACUAUGCACGUCUUGACGGUACCUAAUCAGAAAGCCACGGCUAACUACGUG
rnacentral:rRNA from 1 species